CUUGAACGCUGGCGGCAUGCCUUACACAUGCAAGUCGAACGGCAGCACGGGAGCAAUCCUGGUGGCGAGUGGCGAACGGGUGAGUAAUACAUCGGAACGUGCCCAGUAGUGGGGGAUAACCCGGCGAAAGCCGGACUAAUACCGCAUACGACCUACGGGUGAAAGCAGGGGAUCGCAAGACCUUGCGCUAUCGGAGCGGCCGAUGUCAGAUUAGCUAGUUGGNGGGGUAAAAGCCCACCAAGGCGACGAUCUGUAGCUGGUCUGAGAGGACGACCAGCCACACUGGGACUGAGACACGGCCCAGACUCCUACGGGAGGCAGCAGUGGGGAAUUUUCCGCAAUGGGCGAAAGCCUGACGGAGCAAUACCGCGUGAGGGAGGACGGCUCUUGGGUUGUAAACCUUCUUUUAUCAGGGAAGAAGAUCUGACGGUACCUGAUGAAUCAGCAUCGGCUAACUCCGUGCCAGC
rnacentral:rRNA from 1 species